AGGACUAACGCUGGCGGCGUGCCUAACACAUGCAAGUCGAACGAGGUAGCAAUACCUAGUGGCAGACGGGUGAGUAACGCGUGGUCAACCUACCUCUUAGUGGGGGAUAACUAGCCGAAAGGUUAGCUAAUACCGCAUACGAUCGUCGCGAGGCAUCUCGUGACGAUGAAAGGAGCAAUUCGCUAAGAGAGGGGACUGCGUCCCAUUAGUUAGUUGGUGGGGUAAUGGCCCACCAAGACUCCGAUGGGUAGCUGGCUUGAGAGAGCGACCAGCCACACUGGAACUGAGACACGGUCCAGACUCCUACGGGAGGCAGCAGUGAGGAAUUUUCCGCAAUGGGCGCAAGCCUGACGGAGCGACGCCGCGUGUGGGAAGAAGGCCUUCGGGUCGUAACCACUGUCGAAGGGGACGAUAUUGACGGUACCCUUGGAGGAAGCCCGGCUAACACGUGCCAGCAGCCGC
rnacentral:rRNA from 1 species